rnacentral:rRNA from 1 species
UAAUACGUAGGCAGCAAGCGUUGUUCGGAAUUACUGGGCGUAAAGAGUGUGUAGGCGGUGCUCCAAGUCUGGUGUGAAAUCUCCCGGCUUAACUGGGAGGGUGCAUUAGAAACUGGAAUGCUAGAGGAUGGGAGAGGUAAGCGGAAUUCCUGGUGUAGCGGUGAAAUGCGUAGAUAUCAGGAGGAACACCUGUGGUGUAGACAGCUUACUGGACCAUUUCUGACGCUGAGACACGAAAGCGUGGGUAGCAAACAGGAUUAGAUACCCUGGUAGUCCACGCCCUAAACGAUGCAUACUUGGUGUGAGCGAUUCAUUUCGUUCGUGCCGGAGCUAACGCGUUAAGUAUGCCGCCUGGGGAGUACGGUCGCAAGGCUG